rnacentral:rRNA from 1 species
GACGAACGCUGGCGGCGUGCUUAACACAUGCAAGUCGAACGGUAAGGCCCUUCGGGGUCCACGAGUGGCGAACGGGUGAGUAACACGUGGGUAAUCUGCCCUGCACAUCGGGAUAAGCCUGGGAAACUGGGUCUAAUACCGAAUAGGACCACAGGACACAUGUCCUGUGGUGGAAAGCUUUUGCGGUGUGGGAUGGGCCCGCGGCCUAUCAGCUUGUUGGUGGGGUGAUGGCCUACCAAGGCGACGACGGGUAGCCGGCCUGAGAGGGUGUCCGGCCACACUGGGACUGAGAUACGGCCCAGACUCCUACGGGAGGCAGCAGUGGGGAAUAUUGCACAAUGGGCGAAAGCCUGAUGCAGCGACGCCGCGUGGGGGAUGACGGCCUUCGGGUUGUAAACCUCUUUCACCAUCGACGAAGGUCCGGGUGUUCUCGGGCUGACGGUAGGUGGAGAAGAAGCACCGGCCAACUACGUG